rnacentral:lncRNA from 1 species
GUUUAAAUGUGCAAACAAGCUGUGUUAAUUGUAUUCACUUUUUGUUCAAAUUUCUCUCCUACCUUAUAAUUAAAAAGUUUCAUUUACUAGCAAACAUAUAUUAAUCACAUAUAUAAUAAAUAAAUUAUAUGAAACUGAACAUACCUUGAGCGGAGAAGCUAUCGAGUGAAUUACCACCGAGGUUCAAAGUUUUUAGAGCAGUUAAUCCAUUCAAACUUGACAAUAUGCUUCUAUUAUUUAGACUGUUGUAUGAAAGGUCUAAGGUCUCCAACUUUUGUAAUUUAGCAAAAUCUUCAAAAUAAGCGGAGUAAAUUAUCAUAAGCUUACAUUCAGAGCAUUUUUAAUAGGAAUUUUGACAUUGAAAUUUAACGGAACAAAACAAUAGGUAUGAGACCAAAGUAAAAUUACAAAAAAUAAGUUAAUGAACAAUUUAACUAAAAAAUAAUCACUCAAUCUUAUAUAAUUGAGAUUUGAACAUCAACUUUUCAUGUUGUCGAAUAACUAGCUGUCUCUUUUAUAAAACUUAAACUCAUUGAUAAAGUAUUAUAAUUUUGAAAAUAUAAUUCAAAUUGUUAACAUAUUUAACGCAAACAAGUAUGAAUUUGAUAAAGAAAUCUUAUAUAUAAAGACAAAUUAAGGUAGUACCUUCAUUGCCCAUCCAGCCUUUAAUUUCAUUCCAGGACAAAUCGAGGAGGCGUAAUUCUUCAAAUGGACGAAACAGAGAAACAUUCAUCAUUAUCAUAGUAACGGAUAGUAACUCUAGGGAUAGUUGAGUUAUGUGUCCAGAAGAGGUGUAAGAGCACGUGACUCUAUCCCAAGUACAACAAUUGCUAACUCUAUCAUCAACCCAUGAACCCAAUUUAUUGUAAGGAUCUGCUCCAUUAUGUGACAAGAAGUAGUGUUUGAUAUCUAGAAGGCCUAUUCUCUCACUCUCUAAACAUCCGUUACAUGAUCCUUCUUCAUUUUGCAUUAACAUUAUUAUCAUCACAAAAUAAAAAAAGGAGCUAAUUAUCAAUCCCAACUUCAUUUUUGACAAAUCUAUGGAUAUAUAUUGUGUUACUUUAUGCAGUUUUAUGAUAUAUUCCUAUAAUCACCUUAUGAUAUAUAGUACUAAAAGAUGAGACUUUUCUAUUGCAAGAUGAUACUUCAUAGAAACACGCACAGGAAAGACUUGGAGUUGACUAGAGAUAAUGACAUUUAGUAGUUUAGUUGUUGCUUUCAUUUUUGUAACCAAAUGGCCGGGAUUCUUAACAUGUUAGUGGUUUGGAGUGGAAAAGAGGUCAUGACUCCAUCUUAUCCCUUUAAAUUAAACUCUUUAACCAAAAAAUCAAUGUUUAUUUUCAGAUUUUAAUUAGUCAAGAGAUAUUUUUAACUCAAAAAUUCAAAUUAGAAUAUAUGUACACAAUGACUAUACCUAAACUAUUGCGUAAAACUAUAACUAAUUUGAAAGUUUAAAUCACAAGUCACUCGAUUUAGGGUCUGUCUGUUUUAGAUUUAAAAAAAUAGAUUUUUUUCUUUGUAUUUUUGAAAAUAGAUUUUUUAAAACCGUUUUUCAAAAUAUUACAAGUUUUUUUACAUUCAUUUUUUCUAAAUUUAAACACUAAUUUUGACAUCAUAUAACAUAUACACACAUUAUUGAAGAUCAAAACAUGGUCAAAAUCACAAUUUUUUCAAAAAGUUGUAUUUCAAAAAUGAUUUUUAUGAAAAUCUAUUUGAAAUAUCUUCAAAAUUAAGAGAUUUUUUGAAAUUUUGAUUUCCAAAAAAUGCUUCAAUGAAAUGAUCAGAUAUCUAAAAUAACAUUUUAAGAAUAACAAUUCAAACAAAAUUUUCAUUCGAAGCUUUUAUAAAAAGUUUCUUUGUAAAAAAAAUUUACACGAAAUUAUUUAACACUAUAAGAAUCUAUUUUAAAAAAUGGUGUUGGUUAUACACACCCAGCCACUUUUGUAAAAGUGUGCAUUAACAUGAUACACCUUUUUAAUUGGACAUUAAAUGCCCUUGCUUUUAUUUUAAAAUAAAUGAAGACCAAAGGACAUGAUUGUAAUUGCAUUUAAGUUUGCAAUUAAAAAUUGGUUUCUGUUAAUUAAAUUCAUUUAUCCUCUUCUCACUACUUCUAUGUCAUGAUUACGUAUCAACCGUCUAAAGUUUUUAGAGCAGUUAAUCCAUUCAAACUUAACAAUAUGUUUGUAUUAUUUAGACGGUUGUCUGAAAGGUCUAAAGUCUCCAACUUUUGUAGUCUAGGAAAACCUUCAAAAGAAGCGGAUCGUAAGAUAUGACAAUCGGAAACUUUUUUCCCAAAAAAAAAAUUCGAAUGUUUUUUCCAAUUUCUUUCCUCCUUAAUAAAUAAGUUUCAUUUGCCUAAAAAAAAUAAAUAAAUUAUAUGAAACUGAACAUACCUUGAGCGGAGAAGCUAUCAAGUGAAUUACCACCAAGGUUCAAAGUUUUUAGACCAGUUAAUCCAUUCAAACUUAACAAUAUGUUUAUAUUAUUUAGACAGUGUCUGAAAGGUCUAAAGUCUCCAACUUUUGUAGUCUAGGAAAACCUUCAAAAGAAUCGGAUCGUAAGAUAUGACAAUUGGAAACUUUUUUUCCCAAAAAAAAAUCGAAUGUUUUUUCCAAUUUCUUUCCUCCUAAUAAAUAAGUUUCAUUUGCGUCAAAAAAAUAAAUAAAUUAUAUGAAACUGAACAUACCUUGAGCGGAGAAGCUAUCGAGUGAAUUACCAUGGAGGUUCAAAGUUUUUAGAGCAGUUAAU